CCUACGGGAGGCAGCAGUGGGGAAUAUUGCACAAUGGGCGGAACCCUGAUCCAGCGACGCCGCGUGAGUGAAGAAGUAUUUCGGGAUGUAAAGCUCUAUCGGCAGGGAAGAAAGCGAUGACGGUACCUGACUAAGAAGCCCCGGCUAACUACGUGCCAGCAGCCGCGGUAAUACGUAGGGGGCAAGCGUUAUCCGGAAUUACUGGGUGUAAAGGGAGCGUAGACGGCGAUGCAAGUCUGAAGUGAAAGGCGGGGGCCCAACCCCCGGACUGCGUUGGAAACUGGAUGGCUGGAGUGCAGGAGAGGUAAGUGGAAUUCCAGGUGUAGCGGUGAAAUGCGUAGAGAUUAGGAGGAACACCAGUGGCGAAGGCGGCUUACUGGACUGUAACUGACGUUGAGGUUCGAAAGCGUGGGGAGCAAACAGGAUUAGAUACCCCAGUAGUC
rnacentral:rRNA from 1 species